AUUGAACGCUGGCGGCAGGCCUAACACAUGCAAGUCGAGCGAGCGGCGGACGGGUGAGUAAUGUAUGGGGACUGCCCGAUAGAGGGGGAUAACUACUGGAAACGGUAGCUAAUACCGCAUACUAUCGGCUACCCCAUAUGGGAUUAGCUAGUAGGUGAGGUAAUGGCUCACCUAGGCGACGAUCCCUAGCGGGUCUGAGAGGAUGAUCAGCCACACUGGGACUGAGACACGGCCCAGACUCCUACGGAGGCAGCAGUGGGGAAUAUUGCACAAUGGGCGCAAGCCUGAUGCAGCCAUGCCGCGUGUAUGAAGAAGGCCCUAGGGUUGUAAAGUACUUUUGGCAGAGAAGCGGUAUCUGCAGAGUAAGCACCGGCUAACUCCGUGCCAGCAGCCGCGGUAAUUC
rnacentral:rRNA from 1 species